GUCGCGGUGUCAGAGUGGUUAAUGAGUUAGACUUGAAUUAUCCAAUUCAGCUAUCUAAUGCCUUCGGGCGCGCAAGUUCGAAUCUUGUCCGCGACG
rfam:Paraphaeosphaeria sporulosa strain AP3s5-JAC2a unplaced genomic scaffold CC84scaffold_1, whole genome shotgun sequence.